CCUUGCAUGUGUUAUUAUAUGUAAAACAUCUAACAAUCGAAGCAUAUUUGUUUUGCUGCCUAAGAUAUACGGUCAUGUUGACAUCUUGCAUAGCACGUAUUCAGGUUGAGUUACUGGGUCAAAUGAAUGUUUAAGUUUCACAGUUUGAGGUACCUCCUCUUAUAUGCUCUGACCCAAGGGCUAAUCAUGAUAUUUUAUCUGUUUACCUGCAGGGGCCAUGGAUAUCUUGUUCCAGACGAUGUCUACAAGGUUAUAAUACUGUUUACUAUGAUUGUUAGGUAGUUUUGAUCAGAAGAGGAGUGGAAGAUUCAGACUGGAUGGCUUCAUAUCACUCUGUAUAUUUGUACAGUCUGCGCGGUUUUGACAAAUGCUGUUUUAUAUCCUGUAAAUGAUGUUCUUCUAUGUUUGGUUCUUUCUGCAAGAUGUUACUUUUACUUCGGUGUGUUGUGUACCAAGGCAUCUUCAUAAGUUACUUGUAAUGCUGAACUGAGUGCUCAUGUGGCUAAGCAGUAAAGAGGAAGGAAUCUGCUGUCCUGUGUUAGGCAUGCAUGUCGUUGGAUUAUGAGUGCAGUUUCGUUGGAUGUUUUUUAGUUAAUGUGUAUUAUGUAAUUAUAGUUGUUGGAGGACUCAAGCACAGAAAUUAUGUAAUAGCUAGGUUGUUACUAUUGUUUAUCGCUUCAAGCUUUGAUAAUGGACUUAUCAAGCUUUAAUAAUGAAUGUACUUCGGUUACCUCAGUUUGAUGUUAAGCUUUGAUAGUAGAUGUUUGAA